rnacentral:lncRNA from 1 species
UUUUGGUCUUACGUGGAAUAAGCGAGGUCCGCUUUUUUAAUUAUAAAGCGUCUCUUAUUCCACGUAAGUUAACGAGGCUAUUACGACGUUUACUGUUACCGUGGAAUAUGCGAGGUAAUGUAUUAUAAAUCGUCGUAAAAUUCCCGUGAGGUAACGUGAAAAUUACGACGACUGUCUCUAAACCCCUAAAACGAAACGCCAAACCCC